UACAGAGGGUGCGAGCGUUAAUCGGAAUUAUUGGGCGUAAAGGGCGCGUAGGUUGAUGAUUAAGUGAUAUGUGAAAGACCCGGGCUUAACCUGGGGUGGUCAUGUCAUACUGGUUGUCUAGAGUUCAGUAGAGGAAAGUGGAAUUCCCGGUGUAGCGGUGAAAUGCGUAGAUAUCGGGAGGAACAUCAGUGGCGAAGGCGACUUUCUGGGCUGAUACUGACACUGAGGUGCGAAAGCGUGGGGAGCAAACAGG
rnacentral:rRNA from 1 species